UCGGGUUGUAAAGCACUUUUGUCCGGAAAGAAAACCUUUGGGCUAAUACCCUGAGGGGAUGACGGUACCGGAAGAAUAAGCACCGGCUAACUACGUGCCAGCAGCGCGGUAAUCGUAGGGUGCGAGCGUUAAUCGGAAUUACUGGGCGUAAAGCGUGCGCAGGCGGUUCGUUAAGACAGAUGUGAAAUCCCCGGGCUUAACCUGGGAACUGCAUUUGUGACUGGCGAGCUAGAGUAUGGCAGAGGGGGGUAGAAUUCCACGUGUAGCAGUGAAAUGCGUAGAGAUGUGGAGGAAUACCGAUGGCGAAGGCAGCCCCCUGGGCCAAUACUGACGCUCAUGCACGAAAGCGUGGGGAGCAAACAGGAUUAGAUACCCUGGUAGUCCACGCCCUAAACGAUGUCAACUAGUUGUUGGGGAUUCAUUUCCUUAGUAACGUAGCUAACGCGUGAAGUUGACCGCCUGGGGAGUACGGUCGCAAGAUUAAAACUCAAAGGAAUUGACGGGGACCCGCACAAGCGGUGGAUGAUGGUGGAUUAAUUCGAUGCAACGCGAAAAACCUUACCUACCCUUGACAUGGUCGGAACCCUGCUG
rnacentral:rRNA from 1 species